CCUACGGGAGGCUGCAGUAACGAAUCUUCCGCAAUGCGCGAAAGCGUGACGGGGCAAUGCCGCGUGUGGGAUGAAGCCCUUCGGGGUGUAAACCACUGUCAGGGUGCAGGAAAAAAAUGACCAUACCCAAAGGAAGCACCGGCUAACUCUGUGCCAGCAGCCGCGGUAAUACAGAGGGUGCAAGCGUUAAUCGGAAUCACUGGGCUUAAAGCGUUCGUAGGCGGGCUUGAAGGCGCCUUGUGAAAUCCCCCGGCUCAACCGGGGAAUUGCUCGGCGAACCGCAGGCCUUGAGUCAAGUAGAGGCACCUGGAACGAUAGGUGGAGCGGUGAAAUGCGUAGAUAUCUAUCGGAACGCCAAAUGUGAAGACAGGGUGCUGGGCUUGUACUGACGCUGAGGAACGAAAGCGUGGGGAGCAAACGGGAUUAGAUACCCCUGUAGUC
rnacentral:rRNA from 1 species